rnacentral:rRNA from 1 species
UAACACGUGGGUAACCUGCCUGUAAGACUGGGAUAACUCCGGGAAACCGGGGCUAAUACCGGAUGCUUGUUUGAACCGCAUGGUUCAAACAUAAAAGGUGGCUUCGGCUACCACUUACAGAUGGACCCGCGGCGCAUUAGCUAGUUGGUGAGGUAACGGCUCACCAAGGCGACGAUGCGUAGCCGACCUGAGAGGGUGAUCGGCCACACUGGGACUGAGACACGGCCCAGACUCCUACGGGAGGCAGCAGUAGGGAAUCUUCCGCAAUGGACGAAAGUCUGACGGAGCAACGCCGCGUGAGUGAUGAAGGUUUUCGGAUCGUAAAGCUCUGUUGUUAGGGAAGAACAAGUGCCGUUCAAAUAGGGCGGCACCUUGACGGUACCUAACCAGAAAGCCACGGCUAACUACGUGCCAGCAGCCGCGGUAAUACGUAGGUGGCAAGCGUUGUCCGGAAUUAUUGGGCGUAAAGGGCUCGCAGGCGGUUUCUUAAGUCUGAUGUGAAAGCCCCCGGCUCAACCGGGGAGGGUCAUUGGAAACUGGGGAACUUGAGUGCAGAAGAGGAGAGUGGAAUUCCACGUGUAGCGGUGAAAUGCGUAGAGAUGUGGAGGAACACCAGUGGCG